AUGGUCAUACUUUAUAGGAUCACUUCUAUAGUGCAAUUACCGGGUUUCUCGCCGAGAUUCUCGGAAUAUAUUCAACCACGAUGAGGACUGUUAGUGUAAUCCUCUGAGCGGGAAGCGGUUCUCAAGUGUUUUGCUUGAGAGAUUGAUGACCGUUCUGACUUGGUUUACCGAUGUUCAGAGGAGGAUGACAGGCUGAGUGGU
rnacentral:snoRNA from 1 species